rnacentral:rRNA from 1 species
AUUGAACGCUGGCGGCAGGCCUAACACAUGCAAGUCGAACGAGUGGCGGACGGGUGAGUAAUGUCUGGGAAACUGCCCGAUGGAGGGGGAUAACUAAUGGAAACGGUAGCUAAUACCGCAUACCAUCGGAUGUGCCCAGAUGGGCUUAGCUAGUCGGUGGGGUAACGGCUCACCUAGGCGACGAUCCCUCGCUGGUCUGAGAGGAUGACCAGCCUCACUGGAACUGGGACACGGUCCAGACUCCUACGGGAGGCAGCAGUGGUGAAUGUUGCACAAUGGGCGCAAGCCGGAUGCAGCCAUGCCGCGUGUAUGAAGAAGGCCUUCGGGUUGUAAAGUACUUUCAGCGAGGAGGCGUUACUCGCAGAAGAAGCCCCGGCUAACUCCGUGCCAGCAGCCGCGGUAAUUC